CUCAGAUCCUAUUCACACAGUUCAACUGCCAUGGAGCCGAAGUCUUUAACUACACGAAUGGGCUCCAUGGCAUAGCUAUCUGGGUUAAUACAUUCACAUAAAGUCUGGUCCAUAGUCCAAAGGCAAGAGGCGGGCAAGCAGCCCCAUCAAAGGACACGUGGCGAGGCCGGUUUCGCCACAGUGAAUGUAGUGUCUGUUAGUUGGGCUUAUUCCCCCGUUCCCUCCACAGGCAAGAGGCAGGGAGUGGGAAUAAGC